CCUACGGGAGGCAGCAGUGGGGAAUAUUGGGCAAUGGAGGAAACUCUGACCCAGCGACGCCGCGUGCGGGAUGAAGGCCUUCGGGUUGUAAACCGCUUUCAGCAGGGAAGAAGCGAAAGUGACGGUACCUGCAGAAGAAGCACCGGCUAACUAUGUGCCAGCAGCCGCGGUAAUACAUAGGGUGCAAGCGUUGUCCGGAAUUAUUGGGCGUAAAGAGCUCGUAGGUGGUUCGUCACGUCGGAUGUGAAAAUCUGGGGCUUAACCCCAGACCUGCAUUCGAUACGGGCGAGCUUGAGUAUGGUAGGGGAGUCUGGAAUUCCUGGUGUAGCGGUGGAAUGCGCAGAUAUCAGGAGGAACACCAAUGGCGAAGGCAGGACUCUGGGCCAUUACUGACACUGAGGAGCGAAAGCGUGGGGAGCGAACAGGAUUAGAUACCCUGGUAGUCCACGCCGUAAACGGUGGGCACUAGUUGUGGGGACCUUCCACGGUCUCUGCGACGCNGCUACGCAUAGUAGCCCGCCGUCGGGAGGUACGAGUCGCGAGAAUAAACUAACAACGAAGUAGUAGACGCGNGAGACGCGACGACGACGACGACGGAGGGAGGAGG
rnacentral:rRNA from 1 species